UCCUCCUCAGAGGCUCAAAGCUUUGUAACCCACAGUUCUUGCAAACAAAGGCCUGGAUAACUGGAGGAGCUGCGGUGUGAUGGAGCAUCUCUCCCACCCCUGUAGGUGGCUCUGUGAUGAAAAUGGGGGUAUGUGGGCUGGGGGCCCUCUCCCGAGGAACUGCCACCUCUUACAGAAGUGAUGUGACUGUCAGUGGAUCUGCCGCCUCCCAAACCAACCAAACCCCAAGUUCCCUGUCAUGCUGGCUCUGCCACGGCAGAGCAUGAUUGAAAUUGCUGAAAGAUAUCCAGAUCCUUAAGCUAAACUGAAAGAUGUUUGAGAAUAAUUUUCACACACUUCUAUCCUGUGACUAUUUUAGCAGAGCAUAGACAUAUAUAGACCUAAGCCAAACUUGGGUGCUGUGGAAUAAUGAGUGCAAGGUGGGCAUGUACACCACAGGCAUGCAGUGCCUAUGGAGGCCAGAAGAAGGCAGAAGAUCCUCUGGGAGUACAGUUACAGAUGGUUGCAAGUCACCAUGUGAGGGCUGGGGCAACCAGUGUUCUAAACUGAUGAGCCAUCUUUCCAGCUUCAGUAAUGUUCUUCUAAAUAGACCUAAUAACAUACUGAAUGCAUGGAGACUGGAAAAGAACUCCAGGAAGAUGCUAGGAGAAUACAACAUGUAAAACAGCAGGCAGUAUAUGAAAACUGUUCAGCAUCACUCAUCAACAGGGCUCAGUAUGCUAUCCUCAGGGGAGCCCAUUACACCUGUUAAAAUGGCUGCUAUCAACAAGACAAAAGACAAAUGGUUUUGUGCAGAACAUUGAGAGUGGAACUUACACACUUUCGUGGCUUGCAAAAUAGUAUAGUCAUCGUAGGCAGUAGUACGAGGAUUCCUCAUAAAGUUAACAAGCACAGUGACAGUAAAUGAAUGAAAACUUGAUUACUGUGAUUUAUCCAUACAAAGUGGCAUAAAUAUGCCAAGAGAUACUUGUACCCUUUCUUUACUGCAGUCUUAUCCAUAAGGGCCAAAAUGAUGAAAUGAACGUAGAUGUCCACAUGCAGAUGAAUGAUGAAGGAAAUAUGGUGUACCAUAGAAUGCUGUCUGGCCAUUUAGAAGAGGAAACCCCACCAUUUGUGACAAUGAGGAUGACUCUGAAGGACACCAGGCACAGAACCACAAACAUGGCAUGAUCUCUCUAGAAGAAGAAUUUAAAAAUGCCGACUCUGUGAAAUGGCAGUUAUGAGGAUCUGGCUUGGGUAGCAUGCAGCAGGACCAAAGAAGUGCUGAUCAGAGGGUGCAUUCUUAUUGCAAAAAAGUUAAGUAUGUGAUAUUAAAUAUAUUACCUAAGUGUAGUUUUCAUUCUUUAGUGUUUCAUAUUUUAAAUCACUGUAUGUAAUGAAAGCAUAAAUAGUAUGUUCUGUUAGUUAAAAAAAUUAAUAGUCAGAGAUAAGAUAAUUUAUAAGGAGAAAAAUAGCAAGCAUUUUCCCCAAAGGUUGAUCUUUUUGAAUAUAAGGCAAAGCAAUUUGAUUUCCAUAUGAGGAUGGCUGAUGACUAAUAGCUAAUGUCCGAUGAAUAGCUAAUCUCCAUCUGAUAUCAGAAAACAGGUUGACUAUAUACAAAAGAGAUAUUAAAUUAAUUGAAGUCCUAGGGAAAAAUGAUGCUGAGCAUUUGUGAUUGUUUCUGGGUUUCCAAGACAAUUGCUAGAGACAGCUGCAUGAUUCAUUUUCUUAGAAUCAAGGAACAUUUAAGAUUGUGAGAGAUUAAUAAAGAGUCAUUCUAAACUCCUUUAGUUUAAUCCUUUACUGCUAAAUGUAUAAUAAUGUUUCACUUUUUCAUUUAAUAUUAUAAAUUCACAUACAUUUAACACAACUCUUCUGACAAUAAUCAUGCAAGUCCUUACUCUGAGUGUAAACUAGCCAAUAGGUUUCUUUCCCACCUGACCUCUUUUUUUUUUAUUACUGUUAAGUGUGAAUAGAUAUUUGCCUGUGUAAUCAAGGAUCCACUCUUGAUACAGGAUUAAUCACUAUUUCCUAAAUGCUUUUUGAGUCCACCUUUAAUCACACCUAAGACAUCAGCUGAUCACUCACAAACUACAAAUGCUCAGGGCGUCAGACAAUGUGGCAGUCCAUCUUCUCUUACCAUCUAAUAGGAGGGGCAAUGAGCUGAAUUGGAGGUAAAGAGCCUGCCUCCAAGCCUGAGAACCCGAGUUCAAUGCCAGGGUCCCACAUGGUGGAAGGACAGAACCUAGUGCUGGUUGUUUCCCUCAC